rnacentral:lncRNA from 1 species
AAAGUUGGAUGAGGGUCGGUCCUUGUUGUCCCAGCAACUUGCUUCGGGUCCUGCUGGUGAUCCUGUUGUUGUGGAGAAGGUUGUGGAUGAUGUUCCCCAUGGUGUCUCUUUGGCUCCUGGAGAUUUUGUCAAUCAACAUCACAUGCUAGAUGAAGAAGACGAUGAGCUCUUUUCCCAAGCAGCGGCCAAAGCUGAGGCGGAGUACUAUAAAAAAAAGGCAACUAAUGUAUUGGAUUGGGG